GUGAAAUUGUUGAAAGGGAAGCGCUUGCAACCAGACCUGCCUGCAGUUGCUCAUCCGGGCUUUUGCCCGGUGCACUCUUCUGCUGUCAGGCCAGCAUCAGUUCGGGCGGUCGGAUAAAGGCUUCGGGAAUGUAGCUCCUCUCGAGGAGUGUUAUAGCCCGUUGCGAAAUGCGGCCAGCCUGAACUGAGGUCCGCGCUUCGGCUAGGAUGCUGGCGUAAUGGUUGUAAGCGGCCCGUCUUGAAACACGGACCAAGGAGUCUAACAUCUGUGCGAGUGUUUGGGUGUCAAACCCGUACGCGUAAUGAAAGUGAACGGAGGCGGGAACCCCUCGGGGUGCACCGUCGACCGAUCCUGGUGUCUUCGGAUGGAUUUGAGUAAGAGCAUAGCUGUUGGGACCCGAAAGAUGGUGAACUAUGCCUGAAUAGGGUGAAGCCAGAGGAAACUCUGGUGGAGGCUCGCAGCGGUUCUGACGUGCAAAUCGAUCGUCAAAUUUGGGCAUAGGGGCGAAAGACUAAUCGAACUAUCUAGUAGCUGGUUCCUGCCGAAGUUUCCCUCAGGAUAGCAGUAACGUUUUCAGUUUUAUGAGGUAAAGCGAAUGAUUAGAGGCCUGGGGGUUGAAACAACCUUCACCUAUUCUCAAACUUUAAAUAUGUAAGAAGUCCUUGUUGCUUAGUUGAACGUGGACAUUUGAAUGUAUCGUUACUAGUGGGCCAUUUUUG
rnacentral:rRNA from 1 species